UACGGAGGAUGCAAGCGUUAUCCGGAUUCAUUGGGUUUAAAGGGUGCGCAGGCGGGCUUUUAAGUCAGUGGUGAAAAGCUGCCGCUUAACGGUAGUCUUGCCAUUGAUACUGAGAGUCUUGAGUUUGGAUGAGGUAGGCGGAAUGUGCAGUGUAGCGGUGAAAUGCAUAGAGAUUGCACAGAACACCGAUUGCGAAGGCAGCUUACUAAUCCACGACUGUCGCUGAGGCACGAAAGCGUGGGUAUCAAACCA
rnacentral:rRNA from 1 species